UACGAAGGGGGCUAGCGUUGCUCGGAAUCACUGGGCGUAAAGCGCACGUAGGCGGAUCGUUAAGUCGGGGGUGAAAUCCUGGAGCUCAACUCCAGAACUGCCUUUGAUACUGGCGAUCUUGAGUUCGAGAGAGGUGAGUGGAACUGCGAGUGUAGAGGUGAAAUUCGUAGAUAUUCGCAAGAACACCAGUGGCGAAGGCGGCUCACUGGCUCGAUACUGACGCUGAGGUGCGAAAGCGUGGGGAGCAAACAGG
rnacentral:rRNA from 1 species